AUAAAUGCCUGAUCCAGGCAAACUCCCACAGACAGAGCACAAAGCCUUACCCAGGACCCCACUUCUCCCAGCAGCUGGAUAAACAUAUUCGACGACAGACCUUGGCAAGAACUGCAAAGAUGCUCUUGACAAUGGCAUGAAUAAAUAUUAGGUGUUAUCUAGAAUUCACCACAUUUGAGGUCGUGCGCAAAGCCAGAUCAAAGAGAAUGCAGAACAAUAGAAGCAAGAAGGAUCCCAAAUAUAGUGUUGCAACUCUCCUCACCUGCAGGAAGGGGUUGCCCAAGAAGCAUGACACCAGCAUCUGCUUCUGGUGAGAGCUUCAAGCUGUUCCCACUCAUGGUGGAAGAGGAAGAGGAACCAGUUGUGCAGAAAUAACAGCUAUACAUUUCCGAAGACAGAGAAGAGGAAAAAGGAGGGCCAUGGAAAAAGGCAAGAAGGUCCCGUGACCAAGAAAUGACCAGCUCCACAGAGGAAAUGCAGGGCCACUCUCCGACUGGACCCCACUGUGCACAAGGUGAGAAUUCAGCCUGUUUAUCAGGGUUUCCCUUAUUAAAGUAUAUGUCAAA
rnacentral:lncRNA from 1 species